GAAGUCUCUCAGCCCCACUCACCUCACUUGUUGUGGGGGAGGAAGGGAAAGGAGAAUGUUAGCCGCUUUGAGACUCCUUAAAGAAGAGUUUGGAUUUGAUAUCCCACCUUUCACUCCCUUUAAGGAGUCUCAAAGCGGCUAACAUUCUCCUUCCCUUCCUCCCCCACAACAAACACUCUGUGAGGUGAGUGGGGCUGAGAGACUUC